AUGAAAAUACUGCUGCAGGAAUAUCAUAGUGCUAGUUUUACAUGUAUGGUUUUUGUUACCAUUAUGGGCUCAUUAAGGCCAAAGAAUGAGUUACGAGUACCAUAUCAUGUUGAAGCAGUGGGAGCUCGUGUUGUUCCUCUGACGAUUCAGUGGUUAACAUUUAUCCAUAUCAUAUCAAAUCAUCAAGCUGGUAAAUCCACGGCAUGUUCUUCCUAUAGCAGAUUGUUUCUCCAGCUGGCACUCACCUAUGUAUCUGAUCUAGUUCAUUCUCCUUUUGAACAGGAUGGAGACAUAGACGAACCACUUGCUACCGCCGUCGAGCACGAGGCCUUCCCAUUCUCCAGACCUCCCUAG
rnacentral:rRNA from 1 species